rnacentral:tRNA from 1 species
GGAUUGUGGCUCAGUGGCAGAGUACUUGCCUAGCACAUGUGAGGUCCUGGCUUCAAUUCUCAGCACCA